GCAUCUGCCUUUGGUCUGGGACAACCCUGGAAACGGUGGCUAAUACCGGAUGUGCCCGUAAUUGGGUGAAAGGUUAACUGCCUGAAGAUGAGCUCGUGUCUGAUUAGCUAGUAGGGAGUGUAAUGGACUACCUAGGCGACGAUCAGUAGCUGGUCUGAGAGGACGAUCAGCCACACUGGGACUGAGACACGGCCCACACUCCUACGGGAGGCAGCAGUGGGGAAUUUUCCGCAGUGGGCGAAAGCCUGACGGAGCAAUCCCGCGUGAGGGAGGAAGGCUCUUGGGUCGAAACCUCUUUUCUAAGGGAAGAACACACUGACGGCCCCUGAGGAAUAAGCAUCGGCUAACUCCGUGCCAGCAGCCGCGGUCAUACGGAGGAUGCAAGCGUUAUCCGGAAUGAUUGGGCGUAAAGCGUCCGCGGGUGGCUAUGUAAGUCUGCUGUUAAAGAGUCUAGCUCAACUAGAUAAGAGCAGUGGAAACUACAUAGCUAGAGUACGUUCGGGAGCAGAAGGGAAUUCCUGGUGUAGCGGUGAAAUGCGUAGAGAUCAGGAAGCACACCGGUGGCCAGGGCUCUCUGCUCGGCCGUCACUGACACUGAGGGACGAAAGCUAGGGGAG
rnacentral:rRNA from 1 species